GACGAACGCUGGCGGCGUGCUUAACACAUGCAAGUCGAGCGGUAAGGCCCUUUCGGGGGUACACGAGCGGCGAACGGGUGAGUAACACGUGGGUGACCUGCCCUCAGCUCUGGGAUAAGCCUGGGAAACUGGGUCUAAUACUGGAUAUGACUCCACGGUGCAUGUCGUGGGGUGGAAAGCCUUGUGCGGCUGGGGAUGGGCCCGCGGCCUAUCAGCUUGUUGGUGGGGUGAUGGCCUACCAAGGCGACGACGGGUAGCCGGCCUGAGAGGGCGACCGG
rnacentral:rRNA from 1 species